rnacentral:lncRNA from 1 species
CUGCAGUUCGUGUUGCGAUGGUAUCGAAGACUGUAGAGGAUGAGAGUGCAUCUGGGCAGGGCAAGAAACCGUUGUCACAAGGAUGAGGAGGCAGCUACUGCAUGUCAUGGCAUAAACUACUAGUGGCAAGUAUUGAGAAUUGGUCUUCCCGUUGCCAGCUUUAGUUGUGGUGAUAAUGUUUUGGGGUUAAAUUUGCUAUAAUUAGUGAUCAGUGGGGGGAGGCUGUUAUAUACUUGAAAUCCGCUGUUACUGGUGUUAUCUUAAUUGGCUAAGGUGACCCCCCUUACGCCAGUUAUGUGCUUUUACAUGUAUAAUCGUUGCUUUUUCUGUCCUCUUUCUGCCAGAUUUGGUAUAGUUUUAGGAGGCUGCACAAAGCUAGGUUAACCAUUUCAGUAAAUGUCUUACCUCCAAAGUAAAAAAGAAAAUGCAUCUGCUGCUGUCAGAGAAACAUGAACUUGGCAUCAUUUUUGCUAAUAUACAGACUCUUUCACAGGUGCUGGAAAAACUGAAAUUCUUCCAGUUCUUGCAGUUCCAUGCACAAGCCAUGAUUCAGCAAGCCAGCCCAAUGUGUGAUGUCAUUGCACCCAGUGCCAAACCUCUACAGCAAUUUCAAAAGCACUUCCUGACUCUGUGGAAACUUUCCCUGCAUAAUGAAGACAGGCUGUCAGCAAGAGGUGAUUUCUGUAAAUCUUUCAUCAUAUUAUUCACUCUAUAG